rnacentral:tRNA from 1 species
GACCACGUAGCUCAGUUGGCAGAGCAUUGGGCUAGUAUUCCGAAGGUCGUAGGUUCGAUUCCCACUGUGGCCA